rnacentral:rRNA from 1 species
AUUGAACGCUGGCGGCAGGCUUAACACAUGCAAGUCGAGCGAGCGGCGGACGGGUGAGUAAUGUCUGGGAAACUGCCUGAUGGAGGGGGAUAACUACUGGAAACGGUAGCUAAUACCGCAUACCAUCAGAUGUGCCCAGAUGGGAGUAGCUGGUAGGUGGGGUAAUGGCUCACCUAGGCGACGAUCCCUAGCUGGUCUGAGAGGAGAACCGGCCAACCUGGAACUGAGCCACGGUCCAGACUCCUACGGGAGGCGGCAGUGGGGAAUAUUUCACAAUGGGCGCAAGCCUGAUGCAGCCAGGCCGCGUGUGUGAAGAAGGCCUUCGGGUUGUAAGGCACUUUCAGCGAGGAGGCGUUACUCGCAGAAGAAGCACCGGCUAACUCCGUGCCAGCAGCCGCGGUAAUUC